UCUGCAAAAAAUUAAAUUUUUUAAUGAAAUAAAAUACAUACAUCAUAGUAAUAUAAUGAAGAUAUAUUAUGUCUUUAAAGUAAAUAAUUAAUGAAUUUAGACUUCAAAUUUACAUAACUAAAAAAAAACUUAUCACAAAGUUAUGGCUUUUUAUAUAUAUUUAGCUUUACUGCAUAUGGUUUUUACGAUUUAAUAAUGUAAAAUGUCAAGUAAAUAACUUUAUUUAAGUAUAUUUUAUUUAUACAAAUUAAUUAUUUAUCCCUCCCUAGUCAUUACGGUCACUCUCUAGCUCUUAUGAAUUUUUGUUUAAGCUAGGGAGUGACUUCCUAGGAAAUGACAAAUCAACCGUUUUUAUCUGUCUAAUUAAGAAUAGCUGAUAAAUAAAUAUAGUAGGUUUAGCUAUUUACAGAGGUUAAAAAAUACUACAAGACUACGUAAAUUACAAAAAAUAACAUCUUAGCUGUACAAUUUUGAUACGCUCUAAGGAGUGACCGUCAAUAAAAGUACUACACACACUUCCACUGAUAUUCACAUAUGAGAAGCAACUGAUAAGGUAAUAGAACAUAACAAAAUGGCCCAAUUGUUUAAUUCAAUACCUAAAAUGUUACUGAAAAGAAUGGUAUCUGAAUGUAAGGUGCAAAGUGAAAGAAAAAGGUACUAUUAACUUUUUAAUGCAACACCUUAGCUUUGUGACAGGGCUAGGAAGGGACAAUAUUAGUAUAACAUAUUUAUUAAUUAGGUACCUCUUAACUGUUAAAACUUCAUAGUGAAAAGGAAAUGCUGAUCACAAGUAGAUUAAUAAAGGAAAAACAAAUUCAACAUUAUGC